rnacentral:rRNA from 1 species
CCUACGGGCGGCUGCAGUAGGGAAUAUUGGUCAAUGGGGGAAACCCUGAAGCAGCAAAGCCGCGUGAAGGAUGAAGGUUUUAGGAGUGUAAAAUUCUUUUGAUAGAGGAGAUUAUGGCGGUAUCUAACGAAUAAGCAACGGCUAACUCCGUGCCAGCAGCCGCGGUAAUGCGGCGGGUGCAAGCGUUAUGCGGAAUCACUGGGCGUAAAGAGUGCGUAGGCGGGGUAAUAAGUCAGAUGUGAAAUCCUGUAGCUUAACUACAGAACUGCAUUGGAAACUGUUACUCUGGAGUGUGGGAGAGGUAGGUGGAAUUCUUGGUGUAGGGGUAAAAUCCGUAGAGAUCAAGAGGAAUACUCAUUGCGAAGGCGACCUGCUGGAACAUUACUGACGCUGAUGCACGAAAGCGUGGGGAGCAAACAGGAUUAGAUACCCCAGUAGUC